UCAAAUCCUCCCUUUGGUAUAUAAGCUCAAUACCGUACCCCACCCCAAGCCAGUACCCCCUCUUAGCCAUCUCUCUAACCUCAGAGAGCCUCCCUAUAGCUUCGCCCCCAACCACCGAGCUCCGCCCACCGGGAAUCGCCUCAGGGCGGUUACGUUGGUCCAAACCACCCCCACCGUCACCCAAUAGAACCGCCUCACCUUCCUCUCUUAGAAUGUACCCUUUGCUUUCUUCGAUCAUCCCUGACCUUUUCGAACAUCAGAUCGAUGAUCAGCCGGAAAACACGACCUCUCUGAUGACCACCAAACUCACACCAUCGAACCCCCACGACCCCCUCACUCCACUCCCGUGCUCACUUUCCUUCGAAUCAAACUGGUUCGUCUUGAAUCUUGAUUCCAAUUCAAGAACCCUAGCCGCCGCCACAAGACCCCAGUGGCGGCGGCGCCUCCUUCUGACCUCAAAUCCACACCCCAUCACCAUUAGACCUCCCUCAUCCCAUACCUAGCUCCAUUUCCCUUCAAAUAUCACCCCAACUCCCUGAACACUAAAUCACAGAAAACCCCCGACUUUGAUUCGAAGUCCGAAUUUGGUCUGAGAGGGUCCAUUUGGUUUGAAUUGGAUUUUAGCCGCGUGUUUUCAUGUUGAAAACACACGGUUAAAAUCUGUUUCAAAUCCAAAUCAAAAGAGGGACGAAUGGCAGUGUUUUAGUCCCGCUUUAAUUUUUGAGUAAUUGUUUUCCAGACCUCACCUGGUGGGAGUAUAUUGGGUAGUUGUUGUUGUUGUUUUCAAUUCCUUUUCCUUUUAUUUUUGCUUGUUUAGCUUUCGUCUCAAUUUCAUUGUUUCUUCUUCUCCUUCUUCAUUUCUGUUUCUGAUUCUGUAAUUGAACCGUGUCUGUUUGUGUGAGAUUAACUCGUCAGUAUUUGAAUUUGCUUAAUUUGUUUAAUUCUGGCCAAUAUUUGAAUUGCUUAAUUGAGUCGUUCAUCGAAUCGAACUGUUUGAUCGAUUAAAAUGUCAUGAGUUGGUCAUUAGUUUCUGUAUCAAUCUUUUGAUUAAUUUAGGAACUGUUUAAUUAAUGAAUUUAAGAUAAGAGGGGUUGCUCUGAUGGUAAGCAACCCCACUUCCAACCGAGAGGUUGUUAAUUCGAGUCUCCCCAAGAGCAAGGUCGUAAGUUCUUGAAGGGAAGGAUGCCGGUGGUCUAUUUGGAAACAGCCUCUCUACCCAAGGGUAGGGGUAAGGUCUGCGUACACACUACCCUCCCCACACCCCAUUAAAUGGAAUUAUACUGAGUUGUCGUUGUUGUCAUCAUAAGGUACAUGCAAAAACUUUCUUCUUUUAAGUGUCAUUGUCUUCAAAUUGGUGGAACGGUAGAUGGAUAUUCAUUUAGGUAUAGCUGAAAUUAAAGUGGUUGUAUAAUUAAAUAUACCAAGGGAUUACAUGGACUUAAUUAAGGGUCUCAUUUUCCUCUUUUUGACAUACAUAAAUUUAACUAUCAAAGACAAAGCAAACACAGAUUUUUGCUUUUGUUUUUAUUUUUGUUUCUCCUUUUCUCCACUGAGCCGAGGGUCGAUUGGAAANNNNNNNNNNNNNNNNNNNNNNNNNNNNNNNNNNNNNNNNNNNNNNNNNNNNNNNNNNNNNNNNNNNNNNNNNNNNNNNNNNNNNNNUUUGCCCUUUCGGGUAGGGGUAAGGCUCGUCUACAUAUUACCCUCCCAGACCCCACCUGGUGGGACUAUACUGGGUAGUUGUUGUUGUUGUUGUUAGUAGGAAAAAAAAAAAGAAAAUGAGAAAGUCCAAGACCAAUUAAAUAUUCAAAUUAAGGUCUCUUUGGCAGCUCUACGACACCAGUAAAAUAAAAAAGUGCAGUCACUCCCUCUCCAACAAGCAUAAUGCCUAUUACUAAUUUGAGGUCAAGUACUUUGGGGAUAUCCAGUAAUGUGAGUUCAUUAAAUGUGUGUAGCAAACUAGCAAAAAGGAUAGUUCAACCUACCCAUAUGUGACAUAAGGCUCCACCUUUAGCAGAAUUUCCAAUAUUCUUGCAUCUGCCUUCACAAAGACACCACUGAAGAUUUUCCGCAGCCUCAAAGAGUACAAAAGCUUUCGCGUUCUUGGGUGCAUAUCACUUUUCCUGAAGUGAAUCACAAAUCUUAGGAUCCAAGUUACCUUAGCCAAGAAGUAAAGAAUGAUUGGAAAACCAGGAACUCACCCUCCAAUGCGUAUGACAUAAAGGAGAUUGGAAUCAGACGUGACCAAUGCUCGCCUGGAUCUUUUCUUACCCCUUUGUUUCAUUUGGACAAGGUUCAUCUCCUAGAUAUACAUACAACAGCUCGGUUGAGAAGAAUGUUGGACAAACAAUAUACAACAAUUCAUAAAUUGGAUUACUGCAAGCCAACUGUAGGCGAGCUCCAUGAAUGGCUGUAGCAGUAGAAAGAGCAAGUGACGCGAAAAGGAAGACUAACAUGACAACUUCCAAAGGCAACCUAACAUUAAGCAAAUAUACAAGAGCCACAGGAUGCAAGGGUAAUGGGCAUCCAGUAUUAGUUGCUGAAUGGAAUUUUGAGUGGAAAACAAUGUGGUUUGUCAGACAUGCCUGACUCAACUUGUCCAUAUUUGUUUAGUUUAUAAAAAGAGAACACUUUAAUAAUAAAAGAGGGGGUUGUCAGGGGAAUCGCAGGAGAAUACACUCCUGAGUGGGAAAACAGAGGGAAUACAAUGGGAAGAUAAUCCGUUUUUAAUGAACUGAGUGCAAAAACAUGUUGGAAAGAGGUUCUAGUUUGGUUAUAAAAGAAAGGGAUCAGGGCAGAUUAAGGACAUUUUUUUUGUGCAUCAGUUUUAGAGUCUUUUGAAAAUCAGAAAAGCUUAGAGAGAAAAAGACUGUUCCAUUGUCUCCUCUUGAGUUUAUUUUUCAACUGAAUUUCAGUUUCUAAAAGCUCUUGAAAAACCAGAAUAGUGCUUCGAACUAGAGGUUUUUUUUAGUCAGUUGUUUGAGAGUUUUUGGGAGGAGUUUCUUUUGAAAAUCUAAUCAGUUCUUAGAGUUGGCUUUCUUCGGUGCUUUAAGUCAUUUUUCAGUUGUGAGAAAAGUACUGUUCUAUUGAGAAAGACUGUUCCAUUGAGAAAUUGUGAACUUUGGUUAUUUGUUUUCCAUAACUUGUUGGGUUGUCUGGUUAAAUCACUGUUGGUUGAAGUUCAGAAUCUUAUUUCAAGUAGCUUUGGGUCCAAUUAAACUAGUUUCAGUACGAGUAGUGGUCAGUUGACAUUCCAAGUGUUGCUGGGUAUCUUCAAGCCUAAACUCGUCGCUAAUUCUGGGGUUAUUUGCUAGUUAUGUUGCUGUUGCUUUCUGUGUUACUAUUGCCAUAUUGUUGUUGCUGACUUCUUCUUCCAUUGUAAACAUCUCCAGGUACACCUCUGUACUAUUCAGGCAUUGUGAAAUGAAAUGAAGCAUGGACCAAACCUCUGCUGCUGCAUUUUUUUUUUAGCUUUGCUUGUUAGUUUCGGUCAGUCAAUUGAUGCCUAAUUAUUUAGUUUGAUUGGUUUGAGUUGUAGUAGACAUGGAAUUGUUAAUUAGAACUAUUUCUAGUUCAUAUAAGUUUCCUAGAAAACUGUAUUGGAAAUUGAAUUGUAUAGCGGAUAGUAGUUAUAGUUUAUGAACAAAAGUUGGCUUUUU
rnacentral:lncRNA from 1 species